GCGAAACGAAACUUGUGAAUCGUGCAUUUGCUCUUCAUGGUAGCUGCCAGAAAAUCGAAUCAAGCUUAUGGGACACUGGAUUUCAGGUUGCUGCCACUACUCCAUGUGCCCUCAAUUGCCUUGCGUGUAUGAGUACACUAACGACGUCGCCCACCACGGCGGGAGUGUUUUGCGUACACGCGUUUCAGCAUGAACCCUGCAGGUGGACGUAAAUUGUAGAAGGCAGCUAGUGGGGGAGAAGAUCAUGGUCAUAGGUCAUGUGGCUCCUGGAGCUCCCAGUGGACUCCCUUGUGGAGUACUUUUCAGAACACACACACAGUUCGCUCACAGAACCAACGAGUAGGAUGUUGCUUGAAUACUGAGAGAAUGGCGU